rnacentral:rRNA from 1 species
UUGAUGAACGCUAGCUACAGGCUUAACACAUGCAAGUCGAGGUGCAGCAUUUCAGUUUGCUUGCAAACUGGAGAUGGCGACCGGCGCACGGGUGAGUAACACGUAUCCAACCUGCCGAUAACUCGGGGAUAGCCUUUCGAAAGAAAGAUUAAUACCCGAUGGUAUAAUCAGACCGCAUGGUCUUGUUAUUAAAGAAUUUCGGUUAUCGAUGGGGAUGCGUUCCAUUAGGCAGUUGGUGAGGUAACGGCUCACCAAACCUUCGAUGGAUAGGGGUUCUGAGAGGAAGGUCCCCCACAUUGGAACUGAGACACGGUCCAAACUCCUACGGGAGGCAGCAGUGAGGAAUAUUGGUCAAUGGGCGCAGGCCUGAACCAGCCAAGUAGCGUGAAGGAUGACUGCCCUAUGGGUUGUAAACUUCUUUUAUAUGGGAAUAAAGUUUUCCACGUGUGGAAUUUUGUAUGUACCAUAUGAAUAAGGAUCGGCUAACUCCGUGCCAGCAGCCGCGGUAAUACGGAGGAUCCGAGCGUUAUCCGGAUUUAUUGGGUUUAAAGGGAGCGUAGGUGGACAGUUAAGUCAGUUGUGAAAGUUUGCGGCUCAACCGUAAAAUUGCAGUUGAUACUGGCUGUCUUGAGUACAGUAGAGGUGGGCGGAAUUCGUGGUGUAGCGGUGAAAUGCUUAGAUAUCACGAAGAACUCCGAUUGCGAAGGCAGCUCACUGGACUGCAACUGACACUGAUGCUCGAAAGUGUGGGUAUCAAACAGGAUUAGAUACCCUGGUAGUCCACACAGUAAACGAUGAAUACUCGCUGUUUGCGAUAUACAGUAAGCGGCCAAGCGAAAGCAUUAAGUAUUCCACCUGGGGAGUACGCCGGCAACGGUGAAACUCAAAGGAAUUGACGGGGGCCCGCACAAGCGGAGGAACAUGUGGUUUAAUUCGAUGAUACGCGAGGAACCUUACCCGGGCUUAAAUUGCAUUUGAAUAUAUUGGAAACAGUAUAGCCGUAAGGCAAAUGUGAAGGUGCUGCAUGGUUGUCGUCAGCUCGUGCCGUGAGGUGUCGGCUUAAGUGCCAUAACGAGCGCAACCCUUAUCUUUAGUUACUAACAGGUCAUGCUGAGGACUCUAGAGAGACUGCCGUCGUAAGAUGUGAGGAAGGUGGGGAUGACGUCAAAUCAGCACGGCCCUUACGUCCGGGGCUACACACGUGUUACAAUGGGGGGUACAGAAGGCAGCUACCUGGUGACAGGAUGCUAAUCCCAAAAGCCUCUCUCAGUUCGGAUCGAAGUCUGCAACCCGACUUCGUGAAGCUGGAUUCGCUAGUAAUCGCGCAUCAGCCAUGGCGCGGUGAAUACGUUCCCGGGCCUUGUACACACCGCCCGUCAAGCCAUGAAAGCCGGGGGUACCUAAAGUACGUAACCGCAAGGAGCGUCCUAGGGU